rnacentral:rRNA from 1 species
AAUCUUCCACAAUGGGCGAAAGUCUGAUGGAGCAACGCCGCGUGAGCAAUGAAGGUUUUCGGAUCGUAAAGCUCUGUCCUUGGGGAAGAAGGCGGCCAUGUAUGGCCACUUGACGGUACCCCAGGAGGAAGCCCCGGCUAACUACGUGCCCGCAGCCGCGGUAAUACGUAGGGGGCGAGCGUUGUCCGGAAUUACUGGGCGUAAAGGGCGCGUAGGCGGCCUAAUAAGUCAGAUGUGAAACCCCCGGGCUUAACCCUGGGCCUGCAUUUGAAACUGUUGGGCUUGAGGACAGGAGAGGAAAGCGGAAUUCCCAGUGUAGCGGUGAAAUGCGUAGAUAUUGGGAGGAACACCAGUGGCGAAGGCGGCUUUCUGGACUGUAACUGACGCUGAGGCGCGAAAGCCAGGGUAGCGA